AGAAGGUCAGGCAGGCUAUCCAGUAGGAAGUAGGGUAGGGGAAGGGCAACUCGGGUUUGUUUAUCGAGGUGGCUACUUACUGGGUCAGGUAAUCUCCUUCUAGGUUGUUGGAGUUAUGGUUGUUGGUUAUGAAAUCGAGCAAUACAUUAGUGCCUGGCCGAGAUGAGGUCCUCGGCUAACUGGGCAUGUUCUAGCGUCUUUGCAUAUGAGCUGGGUCUCAGCGUCACAACCCGAUCAUAGAUCUCGGUACAAAGGCCUUUUAGAAACUUCCUAACUUUACGACUUUCGAGGGUGACCAUUAAGGGGCAAACCUAGACAGUUGGACAAAUCGGGCUGCAUACUGAGCAACCAUCAGACUCCCUUGGUGGAGGUCUUGAAAUUCCUUCUCUUUCUUUUCUCGGACAUAGGCUAGAAAAAAGUUAUCAAAGAAUGCGUCCAUGAAAACUUCUGAGGUGGUAGGGGUAGGCAAGAUUUCUUUCUUAAGUUGCCACCAGUGUUCUUCUUCACCAUUUAGCAUAAAGGCUGUUAGGGGGACUUUCUAUUCCUCGGUUAGUUCUAGGACAGAGAACAGUUUCUCUAUGCC
rnacentral:lncRNA from 1 species